ensembl:lncRNA
UGUGGAGCGUGGCUAUAUGUGGAGGAGGAAGUCAGGGUAUAUGUGGAGUAGGAGGACAGGGUAUAUGUGGAGGAGGAAGUCAGGGUAUAUGUGGAGUAGGAGGACAGGGUAUAUGUGGAGGGGGAGGACAGGGUAUAUGUGGAGUAGGAGGACAGGGUAUAUGUGGAGGAGGAAGUCAGGGUAUAUGUGGAGGAGGAAGACAGGGUAUAUGUGGAGCGGGAGGACAGGGUAUGUGUGGAGCGGGAGGACAGGGUAUAUGUCGAGGGGGAGGACAGGGUAUAUGUGGAGCCGGAGGACAUAUAUGUGGAGUGGGAGGACGGGGUAUAUGUGGAGGACAGGGUAUAUGUGGAGGGGGGGGGGGGAGUAUGUGGAGGGGAAGGGGG